CCGGGCGACCGGCGCACGGGUGAGUAACACGUAUGCAACCUGGCCGCCACAGGGGGAUAACCCGCGGAAACGCGGCCUAAUACCCCGUGACGCCACCGGAGGGCAUCCUCCGGUGGCCAAAGGAGCGAUCCGGUGGCGGAUGGGCAUGCGGCGCAUUAGCUAGACGGCGGGGUGACGGCUCACCGUGGCGACGAUGCGUAGGGGUUCUGAGAGGAAGGCCCCCCACACUGGGACUGAGACACGGCCCAGACUCCUACGGAAGGCAGCAG
rnacentral:rRNA from 1 species